GAUGAACGCUGGCGGCGUGCCUAAUACAUGCAAGUCGAACGAACAGACGAGGAGCUUGCUCCUCUGACGUUAGCGGCGGACGGGGGAGUAACACGUGGAUAACCUACAUAUAAGACUGGGAUAACUUCGGGAAACCGGAGCUAAUACCGGAUAAUAUAUUGAACCGCAUGGUUCAAUAGUGAAAGACGGUUUUGCUGUCACUUAUAGAUGGAUCCGCGCCGCAUUAGCUAGUUGGUAAGGUAACGGCUUACCAAGGCAACGAUGCGUAGCCGACCUGAGAGGGUGGUCGGCCACACUGGAACUGAGCCACGGUCCAGACUCCUACGGGAGGCAGCAGUAGGGAAUCUUCCGCAAUGGGCGAAAGCCUGACGGAGCAACGCCGCGUGAGUGAUGAAGGUCUUCGGAUCGUAAAGCUCUGUUAUUAGGGAAGAACAAAUGUGUAAGUAACUAUGCACGUCUUGACGGUACCUAAUCAGAAAGCCCCGGCUAACUACGUG
rnacentral:rRNA from 1 species